UACGUAGGGGGCAAGCGUUGUCCGGAUUUAUUGGGCGUAAAGAGCGUGUAGGCGGCCAGAUAGGUCAGCUGUGAAAACUCGAGGCUCAACCUCGAGACGUCGGUUGAAACCAUCUGGCUAGAGUCCGGAAGAGGAGAGUGGAAUUCCUGGUGUAGCGGUGAAAUGCGCAGAUAUCAGGAAGAACACCGGUGGCGAAGGCGGGUCUCUGGGCCGAUACUGACGCUGAGGAGCGAAAGCGUGGGGAGCGAACAGG
rnacentral:rRNA from 1 species